UGGGGAAUAUUGGACAAUGGGCGAAAGCCUGAUCCAGCCAUGCCGCGUGUGUGAAGAAGGUCUUCGGAUUGUAAAGCACUUUAAGUUGGGAGGAAGGGCAUUAACCUAAUACGUUAGUGUUUUGACGUUACCGACAGAAUAAGCACCGGCUAACUCUGUGCCAGCAGCCGCGGGAAUACAGAGGGGGCAAGCGUUAAUCGGAAUUACUGGGCGUAAAGCGCGCGUAGGUGGUUUGUUAAGUUGGAUGUGAAAUCCCCGGGCUCAACCUGGGAACUGCAUUCAAAACUGACUGACUAGAGUAUGGUAGAGGGUGGUGGAAUUUCCUGUGUAGCGGUGAAAUGCGUAGAUAUAGGAAGGAACACCAGUGGCGAAGGCGACCACCUGGACUAAUACUGACACUGAGGUGCGAAAGCGUGGGGAGCAAACA
rnacentral:rRNA from 1 species